CAUUGCAACAGGUGCUCGGGUAUUAAAACUGAUCUUUCAAUUGUUUCAUACUAUUUUUCUUGAGGUAGGUGGCUGACAUUGUUAAGUAUCGGUAAAUUCAUUGUAAAACUUGAAAUAGGCAUGUGAAUUUGCUUUUAGAAAAUUACAGGAAUUACUGUGAUACAUGUUUCCACAGGAAGGAGUUUAGUUGGGAGCAGUUCAUAUGGAUAAACAAAUGAAAUAGGAGACCAAAACGUUCUAUUAGAUCUCUUUAUGCAUUGAUAAGAGUUUCAUGCUUUUUCCUGUGUUUCCAUUUCAGCUGUGGUACUGAAAGAUUCCUUUUUUAUCCUUUCAAUUGCUAAAAUUGACAGGGAUCAUCUUCUUCUGAUCUUUGCAGAAUUUCAUUGAAAUAAUAAAAAUGUGUAGAAACUUACUUGCAUUUCUCAAGUAAUAAAGAAGUAAAAUUCUAUCUUUAAUUGAUUUCAUGUGUUAAAUGCAGUCUUUGAAGCUUGAAGAAUUUGG
rnacentral:misc_RNA from 1 species